rnacentral:rRNA from 1 species
AGCCGCGGUAAUUCCAGCUCCAAUAGCGUAUAUUAAAGUUGCUGCAGUUAAAAAGCUCGUAGUUGAAUUUCGGGACUAAUAUGUCGGUCGUGCCUCGGUACGUACUGGCUUAUUGGUUUCUCCUUUCUGAAGAACCAUGAUGUCAUUUAUUUGGUGUCGUGGGGAAUCAGGACUGUUACUUUGAAAAAAUUAGAGUGUUUAAAGCAGGCUCACGCUUGAAUACAUUAGCAUGGAAUAAUGAAAUAGGACGUUUGAUUCUAUUUUGUUGGUUUCUAGGAUCGACGUAAUGAUUAAUAGGGAUAGUUGGGGGCAUUAGUAUUCAAUUGUCAGAGGUGAAAUUCUUGGAUUUAUUGAAGACUAACUACUGCGAAAGCAUUUGCCAAGGAUGUUUUCAUUAAUCAAGAACGAAAGUUAGGGGAUCGAAGACGAUCAGAUACCGUCGUAGUCUUAACCAUAAACUAUGCCGACUAGGGAUCGGAUGAUGUUAAUUUUUUAAUGACUCAUUCGGCGCCUUACG